rnacentral:rRNA from 1 species
UACGAAGGGGGCUAGCGUUGCUCGGAAUCACUGGGCGUAAAGGGCGCGUAGGCGGCGUUUUAAGUCGGGGUGAAAGCCUGUGGCUCAACCACAGAAUGGCCUUCGAUACUGGGACGCUUGAGUAUGGUAGAGGUUGGUGGAACUGCGAGUGUAGAGGUGAAAUUCGUAGAUAUUCGCAAGAACACCGGUGGCGAAGGCGGCGACCUGGUCCGAUACUGACGCUGAGGCGCGAAAGCGUGGGGAGCAAACAGG